AACGAACGCUGGCGGCGCGUCUUAAGCAUGCAAGUCGGACGGCAAGAAGAGAGCUUGCUCUCUUCCUAGAGUGGCGGACUGAUGAGUAACACGUGGGUGACGUACCCUUUAGCUGGGGAUAGCCGGUAGAAAUACCGGGUAAUACCGAAUAAUCUUGCUUCUUUGAUGUGAAGUAAGGAAAGGAGCUUCGGCUUCACUGAAGGAACGGCCCGCGCACUAUUAGCUAGUUGGUGAGGUAACGGCUCACCAAGGCAACGAUAGUUAUCCGGCCUAAGAGGGUGAACGGACACAUUGGGACUGAGAUACGGCCCAGACUCCUACGGGAGGCAGCAGCUAAGAAUAUUCCGCAAUGGAGGAAACUCUGACGGAGCGACGCCGCGUGGAUGAUGAAGGUCGGAAGAUUGUAAAAUCCUUUAAGUAUGAUGAAUAACCUGAUCAGGAAAUGGGACAGGGAGUGACCGUAAUACUUG
rnacentral:rRNA from 1 species